rnacentral:rRNA from 1 species
AGAGUUUGAUCCUGGCUCAGGAUGAACGCUGGCGGCGUGCCUAACACAUGCAAGUCGAACGGAGUUUAUAUUAUGAAGUCUUCGGAUGAAUUGAUAUAAACUUAGUGGCGGACGGGUGAGUAACGCGUGGGUAACCUGCCUCAUACAGGGGGAUAACAGCCGGAAACGGUUGCUAAAACCGCAUAAGCGCACAGCAGCGCAUGCUGCAGUGUGAAAAUAUUUUAUAGGUAUGAGAUGGGCCCGCGUCUGAUUAGCUAGUUGGUGAGGUAACUGCUCACCAAGGCGACGAUCAGUAGCCGGCUUGAGAGAGUGACCGGCCACAUUGGGACUGAGACACGGCCCAAACUCCUACGGGAGGCAGCAGUGGGGAAUAUUGCACAAUGGGGGAAACCCUGAUGCAGCGACGCCGCGUGAGUGAAGAAGUAUUUCGGUACGUAAAGCUCUAUCAGCAGGGAAGAAAAUGACGGUACCUGACUAAGAAGCCCCGGCUAACUACGUGCCAGCAGCCGCGGUAAU